UGGAUGCAUAUUUUUACGCCGCAGCGUUUCAGAUUCGACAGACGUCGCGAUUCCAAAACAAAAAACAAUUUUCUCGUUCAGAAGUCCCGCAUAAAUUUCAGUCAAAAGAGCAGACGACGCUAAUUCAGAAAGAUAAGCAAACGUCGCGAUUUGGAAAAUUAAAUUGGAAUCGAACUUAAAUUUGACAGUUCGAAAAUUAUUUCCCCUCCGAUUUCGAUCUGUCAAAAAUAAGUCUGCUUUCCGAGUAGACUUAUUUUGACAGAUGGAGAAUUAUUCAAUAUUGUUUACUACGAACGAGCCGCGUCCUUGGCCACAUCACAUAAGAGACGUAUCCGGAACAAUCGAUACAAAUACGGUGCUAUCUGGAGGAUUUAGUGGUGUUUGAUUAUCGACAAUUCCCACUGGAGUUUGCUCAGAAUCCUACGCCCUUACAAACAGCUUUCGAAAUUGGAAGUGCUGAUAUACAGUGACUCAAACUCAUUUUCGUACGGGCCACUGUUUCGAUAUCAACUUGGUGUAAAACUAUUAAAUGAUCUAUGGACUUCGAUUUAUUUUAUCAAUAACGGAGGUCAUCUAUUGUUUGACAAUCAUAAGCUGUAUUCAUUGACUAAAAUCUUUGGAAUAAUGAAAAAGUAUUGAACUUGUGUCUAAAAAUCACCCAAUUCCAUAUUCGUACACC